rnacentral:pre_miRNA from 1 species
CUGGGCUUCCCACAGGUGAGUUCACAUUCAGAAGGCUCUGAUGUUGUACCCAGGCAAGUUAGAGAAAACACCACACUUUGAGAUGAAUUAAGAGUCCUUUAUUAG